ACGAUGAUAUCACUGCUUGCAGUGAUUGAUUAGUGGCGAACGGGUGAGUAACACGUGAGGAACUUGCCCAUGAGCGGGGGACAACAUUCGGAAACGGAUGCUAAUACCCCAUAGGUGGAUUGGUCGCAUGACGAAUUCAUUAAAGGUGGCUUUGCUACCACUCAUGGAUAGCCUCGCGGCGUAUUAGCUAGUUGGUAAGGUAAUGGCUUACCAAGGCAAUGAUACGUAGCCGACUUGAGAGGGUGAUCGGCCACACUGGGACUGAGACACGGCCCAGACUCCUACGGGAGGCAGCAGUAGGGAAUCUUCCACAAUGGGUGCAAACCUGAUGGAGCAAUGCCGCGUGAGUGAAGAAGGUCUUCGGAUCGUAAAGCUCUGUUGUUAGAGAAGAACACGUGCUAGGUAACUACUAGCGCCUUGACGGUAUCUAACCAGAAAGUCACGGCUAACUACGUGCCAGCAGCCGCGGUAAUACGUAGGUGACAAGCGUUGUCGGGAUUUAUUGGGCGUAAAGGGAGCGCAGGCGGUCUGUUUAGUCUAAUGUGAAAGCCCACGGCUUAACCGUGGAACGGCAUUGGAAACUGACAGACUUGAAUGUAGAAGAGGAAAAUGGAAUUCCAAGUGUAGCGGUGGAAUGCGUAGAUAUUUGGAGGAACACCAGUGGCGAAGGCGAUUUUCUGGUCUAACAUUGACGCUGAGGCUCGAAAGCGUGGGGAGCGA
rnacentral:rRNA from 1 species